GGUGAACGCUGGCGGCGUGCUUAAGACAUGCAAGUCGAACGGCAGUCUUCGGACUGUAGUGGCGCACGGGUGAGUAAUGCGUAACUGACCUACCCCAAAGUCGCGGAUAACGAUUCGAAAGAAUCGCUAAUACGUGAUGUGCUGUCAGAUCGUGUUCUGCCAGUAAAGAUUGAUUGCUUUGGGAUGGGGUUGCGUUCCAUCAGCUAGUUGGUGGGGUAAAGGCCCACCAAGGCGACGACGGAUAGCCGGCCUGAGAGGGUGGACGGCCACAGGGGGACUGAGACACGGGUCCCACUCCUACGGGAGGCAGCAGUUAGGAAUCGUACACAAUGGGCGAAAGCCUGAUGGAGCGACGCCGCGUGAGGGAUGAAGGUCUUCGGAUCGUAAACCUCUGAAUCAGGGACGAAAGACACUUCGGUGGGAUGACGGUACCUGAGUAAUAGCACCGGCUAACUCCGUGCCAGCCGCCGCCGUAAAAC
rnacentral:rRNA from 1 species